rnacentral:rRNA from 1 species
CCUACGGGGGACAGCAGUGAGGUAUAUUGGUCAAUGGGCGCGAGCCUGAACCAGCCAAGUCGCGUGAGGGAGGACGGCCCUACGGGUUGUAAACCUCUUUUGCCGGGGAGCAACGGGCGCCACGUGUGGCGUCACUGAGAGUACCCGGAGAAAAAGCAUCGGCUAACUCCGUGCCAGCAGCCGCGGUAAUACGGAGGAUGCGAGCGUUAUCCGGAUUGAUUGGGUUUAAAGGGUGCGUAGGCGGAUCGUUAAGUCAGUGGUCAAAUUGAGGGGCUCAACCCCUUCCCGCCAUUGAAACUGGCGUGCUUGAGUGGAAGAGAAGUAGGCGGAAGGCGGGGUGUAGCGGUGAAAUGCAUAGAUAUCACGCAGAACCCCGAUUGCGAAGGCAGCAUGCCGGCUUCCGACUGACGCUGAAGCACGAAAGCGUGGGGAUCGAACAGGAUUAGAUACCCAGUAGUC